GAGACAAAGGAAACACAGAGACAUAGACAUGGAUCUGGGAAAUACACCUUUUGCUACUCGUUCAGUUUUAGCAAGGAGGUUUCUUGCAUGGCUAAGCAAAACUUAAACUUCCUCUGAGAAUUACAGGAAUUACAGGACCUGACAAAGCUAUGAAGAUUAAAACCUAUAGGAAGAAAAUCUGAACCAGAAACAGUAUGGCAGAAUUGGGAUCUGACUCACAGAGGGAAGAACUUAUAAUUCUUCACAGGUCACAUAGAAGCAUGAGAAUUUGGGUUCAAGCAAGAGAAACAUUUUGCACUGUGCUGGGGGAUUCUACCCACAUAAGUCAGCAUGUUACUUGCUAGAUAAAAGAGCAAUGAAUGGAGUACUUCAACGCCUAAAUACCUGACGUGUGACAGCAAAUGCCUGUUCCCAUGGAGCUGCUGCUUCUGAGAAAGCUUGAAACAGACAAAGAAUAAGGUAGAAAUGACCUCCUCACUAGAGAUGAAAAGAAGCUGUCCUGGUGAGGAAAUUGGAUCCCAGCUUUUGCCGCUAAGAUUCUUCUCUUCUGCCUCUGGUUUUCUUUAUUGUUCACCCCCAGAAGCAAUCGCUCUCUCACAAGGCAACACACGCAAUAGAGUGAACAGUGAUUCUACAGUCUGAUUCUGGAAAAGGCGACCACAGUGGAAAGAGUGAUCCACACAAGUAUAGGGCCUCCUGAUUAAAACACUAAGAUUUCAUCUCACGCUGUGCCUUUAUACUGUUGAGAUACUAAAGAGGACACUAAAGAUCAAAGUGCUACUUUACAACAUUUUGAAGAAAACAACUGCUACCUGUGUAUUAGUUUGUGCAGAUGUGUUACACAGCUUAGCUGUGUCUGUACCAGUUUAUUAGAAUCAAAGUAUUUUUAAAGUACCUAAGGCCAGGCACAGUGGCUCACACCUGUAAUCCCAGCACUUUGGGAGGCUGAGGCAAGUGGAUCACUUGAGAUCAGGAAUUCAAGACCAGCCUGGCCAACAUGGUGAAACCCCAUCUCUACUAAAAAUACAAAAAUUAGCCAGGCAUGGUGUCACAUGCCUGUAAUCCCAGUGACUCAAGAGGCUGAGGUAUGAGAAUCAAUCGUUUGAACUCAGAAGGAGAGGUUGCAGUGAGUGGAGAUAGCAACACUGUACUCCAGCCUGGGUGACAGAGUGAGAUCCAGUCUCAAAAAAAAAAAAAAAAAAAAAAAAAGUACCUAAAACUUGUGAUAUGGUUUGGCCUUGUCCCCACCCAAAUCUCAUAUUGAAUUGAAUUAUGGGGAGAGGUCUUUCCUGCGCUGUUCUUAUGAUAGUGAAUGAGUUUCAUGAGAUCUGAUGGUUUUAAAAAUGGGAGUUUCCCUGCACAAGCUCUCUUUUGUUGCCUGCUGCCAUCCACGUAAGAUGUGACUUGCUCCUCUUUACCUUCCACCAUGAUUUUGAGGCCUCCCCAGUCCUGUGGAACUGUAAGUUCAAUAAACCUCUUUCUUUUGUAAAU
ensembl:lncRNA LINC00844 long intergenic non-protein coding RNA 844